rnacentral:rRNA from 1 species
GAUGAACGCUGGCGGCGUGCCUAAUACAUGCAAGUCGAGCGAACAGACGAGGAGCUUGCUCCUCUGACGUUAGCGGCGGACGGGUGAGUAACACGUGGAUAACCUAUCUAUAAGACUGGGAUAACUUCGGGAAACCGGAGCUAAUACCGGAUAAUAUAUUGAACCGCAUGGUUCAAUAGUGAAAGACGGUUUUGCUGUCACUUAUAGAUGGAUCCGCGCCGCAUUAGCUAGUUGGUAAGGUAACGGCUUACCAAGGCGACGAUGCGUAGCCGACCUGAGAGGGUGAUCGGCCACACUGGAACUGAGACACGGUCCAGACUCCUACGGGAGGCAGCAGUAGGGAAUCUUCCGCAAUGGGCGAAAGCCUGACGGAGCAACGCCGCGUGAGUGAUGAAGGUCUUCGGAUCGUAAAACUCUGUUAUUAGGGAAGAACAAAUGUGUAAGUAACUAUGCACGUCUUGACGGUACCUAAUCAGAAAGCCACGGCUAACUACGUG